rnacentral:tRNA from 2 species
GCUUCCUUGGUGUAGUUGGCUAUCACGUGAGUCUCAUAAUCUCAAGGUCGCCAGUUCGAUCCUGGCAGGGAGCA